ACCGAGAUUCUUCGGGGCGGUGUUCAGAAAAUGGGGGCGGCGACGAAGCGGGGAUAACGCCGCGCACGCGGCGGCCCGGAGGGCGAGGAGCGGAGCGACGAGUAAUCCCUCUCUCUCCGCCA
rnacentral:sRNA from 1 species